GAUAAUUUUGGAAUUGAAUUCCAUGAAACCAGGGCCCGCGGAGAACCAGCGCCCGCUAGAAAAGACCCAGCGACCGCUGAGUUCCAGCUAGCGCUGGAAACCCAGCGACCGCUGGAAUUUACACAUAAUUAUUAGCAAUUCCAGCGACCGCUGGGAUUUACCUCCCUAAACAUCUAAACAAGAUUAACAAUACAAGGAACAAAAUACAUCCACGUCAGGUCUUAUUAGCAAAAUAGAAAAUUAAGAGAGGUCAAAUCUAUUAAGAAUGUGUCGGCCGCCAUCAACAAUUUGAGGGGCUUAGUGCAUUUCUCAGUAAACAAAAGUGCCAUGGUCGAUUAUGAAUGUGUCGAGCUUCGGCCGCCAUCAACAUCAAAGAAUUCUCUGUGUUCUCAUUUGAAUUUUGAGUUGCAAAAUCAUGAAUAUUUCCGGCGCUAAUUUGCGCGAAACCACUCAGGUUCCGAUUCUGAAUGUUGCAUUCACCCUAUCAUUCUCCUUUUUUUCCGGAUUUUUUGUAGUCUGCAAGUGCUUGUUUAUAUCAAAAUGUAUUUAUUUUGUUUGUGACUUUUUAUGGGUUCCAGCGAGCCGCUGACCACCGGACGAGCAGCAGCAACUCCAGGCCGUCGAUCUCAGGCAGCUCCAGGCCGCGACUCCAGCGAAGCAGCAGCGGUAGUCGGCGGCGAUCUCUACUCCGGGCGAGCAGCAGCAGCUC
rnacentral:lncRNA from 1 species